rnacentral:rRNA from 1 species
UACGUAGGGUGCAAGCGUUGUUCGGAUUCACUGGGCGUAAAGCGCACGUAGGCGGCUAUUCAAGUCGGGGGUGAAAGCCCGGGGCUCAACCCCGGAACUGCCCUCGAAACUAGGUAGCUAGAAUCUUGGAGAGGCGAGUGGAAUUCCGAGUGUAGAGGUGAAAUUCGUAGAUAUUCGGAAGAACACCAGUGGCGAAGGCGACUCGCUGGACAAGUAUUGACGCUGAGGUGCGAAAGCGUGGGGAGCAAACAGG